AGCAGCCGCGGUAAUUCCAGCUCCAAUAGCGUAUAUUAAAGUUGUUGCAGUUAAAAAGCUCGUAGUUGAAUUUCGGGAUCAUCAGGUCGGUCGUGCCUCCGGUAUGUACUGGUCUCGAUGGUUCCUCCUUCUUGUAGAACCGUAAUGCCAUUAAUUUGGUGUUGCGGGGAAACAGGACUGUUACUUUGAAAAAAUUAGAGUGUUUAAAGCAGGCGAUCGCUUGAAUACAUUAGCAUGGAAUAAUGAAAUAGGACGUUCGAUCCUAUUUUGUUGGUUUCUAGGAUUGACGUAAUGAUUAAUAGGGAUAGUUGGGGGCAUUAGUAUUCAAUUGUCAGAGGUGAAAUUCUUGGAUUUAUUGAAGACUAACUACUGCGAAAGCAUUUGCCAAGGAUGUUUUCAUUAAUCAAGAACGAAAGUUAGGGGAUCGAAGACGAUCAGAUACCGUCGUAGUCUUAACCAUAAACUAUGCCGACUAGGGAUCGGAUGAUGUUAAUUUUUUAAUGA
rnacentral:rRNA from 1 species